GAAGCAAGCCAGACCGCCGCUGGUGCAAGCGUGGAAACACGGCACUGGAGGAAGGUCCGGACUGCAUAGAGCAGCGUAGCAGCUAACGGCUGCCCGGCGAAAGCCGAGGAUCAGAGCAACAGAGACGAGUCGGUGAUGGGUCCAUCACGGGGUGGUCUGGGCGGCGCCAGCGCAAGCUGGCGCGGGGUGAGGCGAAAGCCUCGCACCGUCGGGCGAAAGCCCGAACCGACCAGCACCCGGUGGUGGGCAAAGCCCACCACCGGGUGAAACGGGCAAUCUCUACGCGCAGCAACACCAAGUAGGCCAGCGUUGAUGCGGCUCGCAGAGCUGGCGGGUAGGUGGCACCGAGCCGUGCAGUGAUGCGCGGCCAAGAGGAAUGGCGGUCACAAGGCCUGGCCCGCAAGGGUCAGGUCUUGCACAGAAUCCGGCCUAUCGGCUUGCUUCACAU
rnacentral:RNase_P_RNA from 1 species